AGAGUUUGAUCAUGGCUCAGAUUGAACGCUGGCGGAAUGCUUUACACAUGCAAGUCGAACGAUGAACCUUAGCUUGCUAGGGGGAUUAGUGGCGAACGGGUGAGUAAUAUAUCGGAACGUGCCUUGUAAUGGGGGAUAACUAGUCGAAAGAUUAGCUAAUACCGCAUACGCCCUGAGGGGGAAAGUAGGGGAUCUUCGGACCUUACGUUAUAAGAGCGGCCGAUAUCUGAUUAGCUAGUUGGUGGGGUAAUGGCCUACCAAGGCUUCGAUCAGUAGCUGGUCUGAGAGGACGACCAGCCACACUGGAACUGAGACACGGUCCAGACUCCUACGGGAGGCAGCAGUGGGGAAUUUUGGACAAUGGGCGCAAGCCUGAUCCAGCCAUUCCGCGUGAGUGAAGAAGGCCUUCGGGUUGUAAAGCUCUUUCGCAAGGGAAGAAAACUUACUUUCUAAUAAAGAGUGAGGCUGACGGUACCUUGAUAAGAAGCACCGGCUAACUACGUGCCAGCAGCCGCGGUAAUACGUAGGGUGCGAGCGUUAAUCGGAAUUACUGGGCGUAAAGCGUGCGCAGGCGGUUUGGCAAGUCAGAUGUGAAAUCCCCGAGCUCAACUUGGGAACUGCGUUUGAAACUGCCAGACUAGAAUAUGUCAGAGGGGGGUAGAAUUCCACGUGUAGCAGUGAAAUGCGUAGAGAUGUGGAG
rnacentral:rRNA from 1 species